GACGUAGGGGGCCAGCGUUGUUCGGAAUUACUGGGUGUAAAGGGUUCGUAGGCGGUGCGGCAAGUUGGGAGUGAAAUCUCUGGGCUUAACCCAGAGGCUGCUUCCAAAACUGCUGUGCUUGAGUGUGGGAGAGGCGCGUGGAAUUCCAGGUGUAGCGGUGAAAUGCGUAGAUAUCUGGAGGAACACCGGUGGCGAAGGCGGCAUCCUGGACCGACACUGACGCUGAGGAGCGAAAGCCAGGGGAGCAAACGGG
rnacentral:rRNA from 1 species